rnacentral:rRNA from 1 species
GAACGGGUGAGUAACACGUGGGAACCUACCUCUUAGCAGGGGAUAACAUUUGGAAACAGAUGCUAAUACCGUAUAACAAUGACAACCGCAUGGUUGUUAUUUAAAAGAUGGUUCUGCUAUCACUAAGAGAUGGUCCCGCGGUGCAUUAGCUAGUUGGUAAGGUAAUGGCUUACCAAGGCGAUGAUGCAUAGCCGAGUUGAGAGACUGAUCGGCCACAAUGGGACUGAGACACGGCCCAUACUCCUACGGGAGGCAGCAGUAGGGAAUCUUCCACAAUGGGCGAAAGCCUGAUGGAGCAACGCCGCGUGUGUGAUGAAGGGUUUCGGCUCGUAAAACACUGUUGUAAGAGAAGAAUGACAUUGAGAGUAACUGUUCAAUGUGUGACGGUAUCUUACCAGAAAGGAACGGCUAAAUACGUGCCAGCAGCCGCGGUAAUACGUAUGUUCCAAGCGUUAUCCGGAUUUAUUGGGCGUAAAGCGAGCGCAGACGGUUAUUUAAGUCUGAAGUGAAAGCCCUCAGCUCAACUGAGGAAUUGCUUUGGAAACUGGAUGACUUGAGUGCAGUAGAGGAAAGUGGAACUCCAUGUGUAGCGGUGAAAUGCGUAGAUAUAUGGAAGAACACCAGUGGCGAAGGCGGCUUUCUGGACUGUAACUGACGUUGAGGCUCGAAAGUGUGGGUAGCAAACAGGAUUAGAUACCCUGGUAGUCCACACCGUAAACGAUGAGUGCUAGGUGUUUGAGGGUUUCCGCCCUUAAGUGCCGCAG